GAGCUCGUAGUGUAAUGGAUAUCACGCAAGAUUCCGGUUCUUGCGAUGCGGGUUCGAUUCCCGCCGAGCUCA
rnacentral:tRNA from 1 species